UACGAAGGGGGCUAGCGUUGCUCGGAAUCACUGGGCGUAAAGGGCGCGUAGGCGGACAUUUAAGUCGGGGGUGAAAGCCCGGGGCUCAACCCCGGAAUUGCCUCCGAUACUGGAUGUCUCGAGACCGGAAGAGGUAAGUGGAACUGCGAGUGUAGAGGUGAAAUUCGUAGAUAUUCGCAAGAACACCAGUGGCGAAGGCGGCUUACUGGUCCGGUUCUGACGCUGAGGCG
rnacentral:rRNA from 1 species